GCUAAUAUAGUUUAAACAAAACGUUGGUUUGUGAAACCAGAAAUAUGGGCCUGCAACCCCCUUAUUUGCC
rnacentral:tRNA from 1 species